UUUUCAAAAUUUGGUUCAGUAUAGAUAGAUAGAUAGAUAAAAAACUUUAUUUAGGUCCUGAAGGAAUCCACCCCCGUUUUAUAGGGGGAGG
rnacentral:lncRNA from 1 species